UUUCAAAAUUGUGCUUGACAGCGUGCGUUCAUAUUUUUGUGUGUUAAUUUUCAGUUCCCAAUUUUUUUUGGUUUAAUCAAUUAAAACAAAAGUGAAUCAAAAUGGUGAAAAAGAAAAUUGAUAACCGCAUACGCGUGAUGAUUGAGAAUGGUGUGAAGCUGGGCCAUCGCACCAUGUUCAUCGUCAUUGGCGAUAAAGCACGCGAUCAAGUGCCAAUUCUCUACGAUAUAUUGACCAAGUCGACGGUCAAGGCGCGUCCCACGGUGCUGUGGUGCUACAAGAACAAGGACGAAGCUAUUUCCAAUCACGGCAAGAAGCGUGCUAAGAAGAUUGCAACCGGCAAAGUCGAUGUCAAUGAGGCAGACAUGUUUGAUGCCUUUCGCGUGGCCACCACCAUCCAUGGUCGCUACUACUCCGACACACACACCAUUCUGGGACGCACCUAUGGCGUCUGUGUACUGCAGGACUUUGAGGCAUUGACUCCCAAUCUUCUUGCACGCACCGUGGAAACCGUCGAGGGUGGCGGCCUGAUUAUUCUGUUGCUGAAGUCGCUGCAGUCGCUGAAGCAGCUCUACACCAUGAGCAUGGAUGUACACAAACGUUUCCGCACUGAGGCCCAUCAGACAGUCACCUGCCGCUUCAACGAGCGCUUGAUUCUAUCGCUGGCCGAUUGCAAGCGCUGUCUGGUGGUCAACGAUGACCUCACCGUGCUGCCCCUCAGCUCCAAGACCAUCAACGUGGACCCAGUGAAUCCCGGCAGCAUUGGAAAGUCGGAGAACGAGAGCAGCUUGAAGGACCUAAAGGAGAGCCUGCUAAAUGUGCAGCCAGCUGGCGCACUGGUCAAUCUCUGCAAGACAUACGACCAGGGCAAUGCAGUGGCCCAGUUCAUCGAAGCUCUGGUGGACAAGCAACUGAAGCCACCCAUGUCACUGACAGCGGCACGUGGACGCGGCAAAUCUGCCGCUUUGGGACUCUCCAUUGCCGCAGCUGUGGCAUUUGGCUAUGUCAAUGUGUACGUGACAUCGCCGCAUCCGGAGAACUUGAUUACGCUCUUUGAGUUCGUGUUGAAGGGCUUCGAUGCGCUGGAGUAUCAGGAGCAUGCCGAUUACACCAUCAUACGCAGCACCAAUGAGGACUACAAGAAGGCCAUCAUACGCAUCAAUAUAACGCGUAACAGUCGCCAGACUAUACAGUAUAUUGCACCCAAUGACACACAUCUGUUGAGUGCCGCCGAUCUGCUGUUGAUCGAUGAGGCGGCUGCCAUUCCGCUGCCGCUUGUUAAGAAAAUGAUGGGUCCAUAUUUGAUCUUCAUGGCUAGUACAAUCAAUGGCUACGAGGGCACUGGACGUUCGCUCAGCUUGAAGCUCAUUUCGCAGCUGCAAAAGGAGAACAAUGCACGUCCGCCGCUCAAGCUGGAUGAAUCGAUUCGUUAUCAGUCCAACGAUGACAUCGAGCGUUGGCUGAUCAAUCUGCUCUGCCUGGAUGCGAGCAGUGUGCCGGCCAUUAGCUCCGGUUGUCCGACUCCCGCUGCCUGUGAUUUGUAUUACAUUGAUCGCGAUGCCUUGUUCUCGUAUCACAAGGCAACUGAAGCGUUCCUGCAGCGCCUGGUCUCGAUUUAUGUGUCUUCGCACUACAAGAACACACCCAACGAUCUGCAGAUGAUGAGCGACGCCCCCGCCCAUCAUUUGUUCUGUCUGCUUGGACCGAUAGAGCGCAAGGAUGCACUGCCCGAGAUCCUUGUUGUUGUCCAGGUCGCACUCGAGGGUCAAAUCUCCUCACAGAGCAUUAGCGAGUCAAUGGGACGCGGCAAGAAGGCUGCCGGCGAUCUGAUACCCUGGAAUGUGGCCGAACAGUUUGGCGAUCGUGACUUCCCCAAGUUGUCCGGUGUGCGAAUCGUGCGCGUCGCCACCAAUCCCAGUUACCAACGCAUGGGCUACGGCAAGCGUGCUAUUCAACAGCUCAAGGAAUACUAUGAACGUCGCCAUGUCGAUCUGUCGAUAGAAGGCGAUACGCGCAACAGAGCUGGCAUUGAGGAAGUGGAGGAGGAGGAGCUCAGUCUGCUCAAGGAGCAGAUUCGUCCUCGCGCGCAGAUUCCCACACUGCUGCAACGUCUGAAGGAGCGUUCGCCGGAACCCGUUGACUACAUUGGCACCUCCUUUGGCCUGACCGGUGAGCUGCUCAAGUUCUGGAAGAACUGUGGCUUUGUCCCCGUCUAUCUCAGCCAGAAGUCGAAUGAGCUGACCGCCGAGCACAGCUGCAUCAUGCUGCACACAUUGGAGACAAGCGCCACCGUUGACUGGUUGCCAUCCUACUAUAAGGACUUUCGACGUCGCGUCCUUCGUUUGAUGGGCAAAACAUUCAGAGAGUUCGACACCAAAGUCUGUCUGUCGUUGCUCAGUAACUCGCCGGUGACGAUUCCUGACUGCCCUCAGCUGGACAAGCACAUGCUUGACGUGUACUUCCUGCCACACGAUCUGCAACGCCUCGAGAGCUAUGCUCGCCAACAGUCCGAAUUCCGUCUGAUUAUCGAUCUGCUAACAGACAUUGCCCAGCUGUAUUUCCAGGGCUCAAUACAGACACUGAAGCUUGACAAUGUGCAGAAGAAUAUUCUAAUGGGAUUGGCCAUUCAGGGCAAGUCGGUGGAUGCCUUGGGCGCGGAGAUCAAUAUGCCGGGCAAACAGGUGCUGGCCAAAUUCUAUGAAGGCAUGAGAAAGUGCUAUGAUUGCAUCCGCAAUGUCAUCGAGGAACACAUCGAAGGUGGUAUGCUGCAGGAGGCGGAAUUGCCGCGUGGCGAACAGCUGCAACCGAUGUCGCUGACCAUUGACCAAGAGCUCGAAAGCUCCGCUCAAAAGAUAACCAAGAAGCAAAAGAAGGAGCUGAAACGUCUGCUGGACGAGCAGAAUGGCGAUGCGACAGACGAUAUCAAGGUUAGCAAACAGGCUAAAUUAUCGAAAACGCCGCGCAAGGAGCAAAAGGAGGACAACAAAAAAAUUCAGGUUAGCGAGCAUAAAAAGGCGGCAAUGGCGAGAUUAGGAAUCACCGCCGAGGAAUAUAAAAAAUUUUUUGGAUUUAAAAGUGAUGCUGAACGUUUGGAAAUUCUAAAAAGCAACGAGGCGUACUUUAAGAGGCCAGAAGAGCAACCGUAUGUGAGGCCUAGCAAGAUAGUACAUCCAAUAUAUAGAAACCAGAAGGAUUAUGAGAAAAAGCUGCAAUUACGAAUAGCCUUUGCAUACAGAGAACGACUUUUAAAUAAGUCAAAGGGAUAUCAGGAAAAACAAAUAAUUAUGUAUAAUGAAAGUAAGGAUUAGCGCAAGAUUAACAAGAAUCAACACACACUCAAAGAAGAAAUCAAGAAGAAGUAACUGAAGAAAGAACCUUUUUUGAAGAAUAUUGAAGAAAAAAAUAUAAAUUUAUCAAGAACCUUGCUGCCGGUUACGUACUAGAUCAGUUAGAAUCCAGCUAUAACAGAAAAAUUUAAAGAUGAAAGAAGAAAAAUAUUUGUGAAGAAUGCAAAACUCCGCGUCUGUUCUUCGCAAGGAGCAACGGAAAAGUCUUCAAGCCAGCAGCUAAUCAAGGAUACAGAGAAGAGAGGGUCUUGUAAUGUAGUUCUUCUAUUUUAUUAUAUAAGAUUGUUUUUUCUUUUUAUGUAAGUUGCUUAAAUAUAAAGCAAAAAAAAAGAGAAGCGAAUUAAGCGUAAGACUAUAUUUU